CGAUGACGUUGAUAGGUCGGGUGUGUAAGCGCAGCGAUGCGUUGAGCUAACCGAUACUAAUGAACCGUGAGGCUUAACCUUACAACGCCGAAGC
rnacentral:rRNA from 1 species